rnacentral:lncRNA from 1 species
ACAUUGAUAACUGUGCAGACGGACUCCCAAUCCAAUCUCAGGCCUUGUUUCUUACUUUAUAAUCUUUUUUUUUUCUGGACCCGCAGGCUUUCCCUCAUCAGGCUGACGAUGGCUCGCUUCACACAUACCACUCAAGACUUCUGUGCAGUAUAAAAUAGAAGAUCAAAAGCAGGGUUGACUCUUUUCUGAAAAAGUUUGGUAAGGCCAGGCAUUUGAACACUGAGUCACAUGCACCAGAACCAGGCACAUGGAGGACAGCUGACUCCACAGAACCAGGGAUUUGGGUAAGUGCCCAGCACCAAAGCCACCUAAAGUGACAGCAAAUGCUAACUUUUUAGUAA